rnacentral:rRNA from 1 species
GAUGCCCUGGCAGUCAGAGGCGAUGAAGGGCGUGCUAAUCUGCGAUAAGCGCCGGUAAGGUGAUAUGAACCGUUAUAACCGGCGAUACCCGAAUGGGGAAACCCAGUGUGAUUCGUCACACUAUCAUUAACUGAAUCCAUAGGUUAAUGAGGCGAACCGGGGGAACUGAAACAUCUAAGUACCCCGAGGAAAAGAAAUCAACCGAGAUUCCCCCAGUAGCGGCGAGCGAACGGGGAGGAGCCCAGAGCCUGAAUCAGCAUGUGUGUUAGUGGAAGCGUCUGGAAAGGCGCGCGAUACAGGGUGACAGCCCCGUACACAAAAGCGCAUGUGCUGUGAGCUCGAUGAGUAGGGCGGGACACGUGGUAUCCUGUCUGAAUAUGGGGGGACCAUCCUCCAAGGCUAAAUACUCCUGACUGACCGAUAGUGAACCAGUACCGUGAGGGAAAGGCGAAAAGAACCCCGGCGAGGGGAGUGAAAAAGAACCUGAAACCGU